CGUGUAGCGGUUACUCUGGUGACAAUGGAGAAGUUAGCAAAUAGUUGUGAAGGUAAAAAUGUGGUACAGUAUUUAAAGAAUACUGCUAAGUUGGUGGUGCAAGUGACGAGAGAAUGGGAUUCACCUGGAGGAAAGCAGCUGUCAUAAACAAGCUAGCUGACUACCGAGAAGCAGUUCUGUCCACCUGGAAAAAUCUAAAUGGAGCAGCAGGUCGUCAAAGCACAGUGCCAGAGGACCAAGGCCAGUUCUGAAGCCAGUUCCCGACCAGUCUCACCUGGAACAAAGCCAAAGACAGACACGAAGAGGAGUAGCUUGGUGCAUUUCUGUGGGAUGAUUUCCAGCCGUAUCAGAGAUCUGCCUGUGUUCUCCUUCUCUGGAUUAUUGGAGUAGCCGGCUGAAGGCUGUCUACGCACUCAAUGAAAAGGGUUCCCAGGUUCUCCAUGUGACCUACGCAGGUUAAACAAUCUUGGUUCUCUUGAAAAAAAAAAAAAAUCCUAAACU